rnacentral:rRNA from 1 species
GUGGGGAAUAUUGGGCAAUGGGGGCAACCCUGACCCAGCAACGCCGCGUGAGGGAAGAAGGUUUUCGGAUUGUAAACCUCUGUCCUAUGGGAAGAAGGAAGUGACGGUACCAUAGGAGGAAGCCCCGGCUAACUACGUGCCAGCAGCCGCGGUAAUACGUAGGGGGCGAGCGUUGUCCGGAAUUACUGGGCGUAAAGGGUGCGCAGGUGGCCUGACAAGUCAGAUGUGAAAUACCGAUGCUUAACGUCGGGGCUGCAUUUGAAACUAUGAGGCUGGAGUACAGGAGAGGGAAGCGGAAUUCCUAGUGUAGCGGUGAAAUGCAUAGAUAUUAGGAGGAACACCAGUGGCGAAGGCGGCUUUCUGGACUGUAACUGACACUGAGGCACGAAAGCGUGGGGAGCAAACAGGAUUAGAUACCCUUGUAGUCC